rnacentral:rRNA from 1 species
UACGUAGGGUGCAAGCGUUAAUCGGAAUUACUGGGCGUAAAGCGUGCGCAGGCGGUGAUGUAAGACAGGUGUGAAAUCCCCGGGCUUAACCUGGGAACUGCAUUUGUGACUGCAUCGCUGGAGUGCGGCAGAGGGGGAUGGAAUUCCGCGUGUAGCAGUGAAAUGCGUAGAUAUGCGGAGGAACACCGAUGGCGAAGGCAAUCCCCCUGGGCCUGCACUGACGCUCAUGCACGAAAGCGUGGGGAGC